AUACUUACCUGGAGAGGGGGUAUUAUAGUCAUGAAGGUGUUUUACUUAUGGAAACGCUUGCCUAUUCCACUCCAGAUAUGUUGACCCUUAAAUCUUCCCCAGAUGACAAAACUCAACUUCAUAAUAUCUAGUACUGGGGGAAGAUAUUUGCCUUAUACCCUG
rnacentral:snRNA from 11 species